rnacentral:rRNA from 1 species
UGGGGAAUAUUGGACAAUGGGCGCAAGCCUGAUCCAGCCAUGCCGCGUGAGUGAUGAAGGCCUUCGGGUUGUAAAGUUCUUUCAUCGGUGAAGAUAAUGACGGUAACCGGAGCAGAAGCCCCGGCUAACUUCGUGCCAGCAGCCGCGGUAAUACGAAGGGGGCUAGCGUUGUUCGGAUUUACUGGGCGUAAAGCGCACGUAGGCGGACUUUUAAGUCAGGGGUGAAAUCCCGGGGCUCAACCCCGGAACUGCCUUUGAUACUGGAAGUCUUGAGUAUGGUAGAGGUGAGUGGAAUUCCGAGUGUAGAGGUAAAAUUCGUAAAUAUUCGGAGGAACACCAGUGGCGAGGGCGGCUCACUGGACCAUUACUGACGCUGAGGUGCGAAAGCGUGGGGAGCAAACAGG